rnacentral:rRNA from 1 species
AGUAAAAAGUCGUAACAAGGUCUCCGUUGGUGAACCAGCGGAGGGAUCAUUACUGAGUUUACGCUCUACAACCCUUUGUGAACAUACCUACAACUGUUGCUUCGGCGGGUAGGGUCUCCGUGACCCUCCCGGCCUCCCGCCCCCGGGCGGGUCGGCGCCCGCCGGAGGAUAACCAAACUCUGAUUUAACGACGUUUCUUCUGAGUGGUACAAGCAAAUAAUCAAAACUUUUAACAACGGAUCUCUUGGUUCUGGCAUCGAUGAAGAACGCAGCGAAAUGCGAUAAGUAAUGUGAAUUGCAGAAUUCAGUGAAUCAUCGAAUCUUUGAACGCACAUUGCGCCCGCCAGCAUUCUGGCGGGCAUGCCUGUUCGAGCGUCAUUUCAACCCUCAAGCUCUGCUUGGUGUUGGGGCCCUACAGCUGAUGUAGGCCCUCAAAGGUAGUGGCGGACCCUCCCGGAGCCUCCUUUGCGUAGUAACUUUACGUCUCGCACUGGGAUCCGGAGGGACUCUUGCCGUAAAACCCCCAAUUUCCACAGGUGACCUCGGAUC